UAAAGGGANAGCCUGAGGAUAAUGCCUUUGG
rnacentral:piRNA from 1 species